rnacentral:sRNA from 1 species
AACACACUUGGUCCGCAGACCAUGGCGCGCGCGACCCAAGCCUGCCCAGACAGGCCAAGGGUUUGACAAGACCUAUGACACGCACGAUCUGACCCGGGGCGGGCAGAUGGCGCGUGUCAUGGUGAUUGGUCGACCCGCCCCUUAGGAAGCC